rnacentral:rRNA from 1 species
GAUGAACGCUGGCGGCGUGCCUUAUACAUGCAAGUCGAGUGGGUUUAGACCCACGGCAAACGGGUGAGUAACACGUAGGUACUUUCCUUGUCACAGGAAUAACCCUCCGAAAGGAGGGCUAAUACCUGAUGUGAUCGCAAGAUUAAAGGGUAUCCGCAAGGAUUACCGGACAAGAAGAGGCCUGCGGCCUAUCAGCUAGUUGGCGGGGUAAAUGCCCACCAAGGCUAUGACGGGUAGCUGGUCUUAUGAGGAUGAUCAGUCACAUGGGCACUGAGACACGGGCCCAACUCCUACGGGAGGCAGCAGUAGGGAAUUUUGCGCAAUGGGCGAAAGCCUGACGCAGCGACGCCGCGUGCGGGAUGAAGGCCUUCGGGUCGUAAACCGCUUUUAUAAGGGACGAACUUUGACGGUACCUUAUGAAUAAGAGGGUGCUAACUCUGUG